rnacentral:rRNA from 1 species
AUUGAACGCUGGCGGCAGGCCUAACACAUGCAAGUCGAACGAGUGGCGGACGGGUGAGUAAUGUCUGGGAAACUGCCUGAUGGAGGGGGAUAACUACUGGAAACGGUAGCUAAUACCGCAUACCAUCGGAUGUGCCCAGAUGGGAUUAGCUAGGAGGUGGGGUAACGGCUCACCUAGGCGACGAUCCCUAGCUGGUCUGAGAGGAUGACCAGCCACACUUGAACUGGUGCACGGUCCCAGAUCCUACGGGUGGCAGCAGUUGGGAAUAUUGGACAAUGGGCGGAAGCCUUAUGGAGCCAUGCCGCGUGUGUGAAGAAGGCCUUCGGGUUGUAAAGCACUUUCAGCGGGGAGGCGUUACCCGCAGAAGAAGCACCGGCUAACUCCGUGCCAGCAGCCGCGGUAAUUC